AUGCACACCAGGUUCCUAUGUAGGCCUAUUUAUGUUGCAGAGGGGAAAACUUCUCUGUUCCGUCCACUUGCCUACAGUGGUGGCGCAUACAAGUUGCAUGUGAGUAGGCCACAUAUCUUGGUUUUUCCUGUUACUUCUGAUUAUCCAUGUGAAAACAUUAUUUUACAAUCAGCUGUGGUGAAAAAAUUAUUGCAGUUGAGUUGGUUAAUUAUCGUACUUAAAUCUCGCCUCCAUGCACGGAAUUUUAAUGGGGUUAGUAUGCUUUGUACUGACCCAAGAACAAUUCCUUAUGAUGCUCACCAUUUGUGCAUUUCUUUUGGUCUAGGACAAAGGGUAUGUGGAAGACUGGAUUUGAUAUUAUCAUGGAAUGAUAGCUAUUAG
rnacentral:rRNA from 1 species